UACGUAGGUGGCAAGCGUUGUCCGGAAUUAUUGGGCGUAAAGCGCGCGCAGGCGGUUUCUUAAGUCUGAUGUGAAAGCCCACGGCUCAACCGUGGAGGGUCAUUGGAAACUGGGAAACUUGAGUGCAGAAGAGGAGAGUGGAAUUCCACGUGUAGCGGUGAAAUGCGUAGAGAUGUGGAGGAACACCAGUGGCGAAGGCGGCUCUCUGGUCUGUAACUGACGCUGAGGCGCGAAAGCGUGGGGAGCGAACAGG
rnacentral:rRNA from 1 species